rfam:Oryza sativa (indica cultivar-group) chromosome 5, whole genome shotgun sequence.
AAUAAGUGCAGUUUUGCACUAUUUACGUUCAACGUUUGACCGUCCGUCUUAUUUGAAAAAUUUGUGAAAAAAUUAAAAACAUUUAGUCACACAUAAAGUACUAUUCAUGUUUUAUCAUCUAAUAGCAAUAAAAAUACUAAUCAUAAAAAAUUUUCAAAUAAGACGGACGGUCAAACGUUGAACAUGAAUAGUGCAAAACUGCACUUAUU